rnacentral:lncRNA from 1 species
UCACACAUAAUAAUUGUGUAUAUUUAUCAGGUACAGUGUGAUGUUGCAAUGCAUGUUUACAAUGGGCAAUAAUUACAUUAGAGUAAUUAGCAUAUCUAUUACCAUAAACUUUUAUCAUUCCUUUAUGUAAGAAACAGCCAAAAUUCCUGCCUCAGCCUCCUGAGUAGCUGGGAUUACAGGUGCCCAGCACCAAGCCUGGCUAAUUUUUUGUUUUUUGAGACAGAGCCUCACUCUGUCACCCAGGCUGGAGUGCAGUGGCACGAUCUCGUCUCACUGCAACCUCUGCCUCCCUGGUUCUUAUAAUUCUCCUGCCUCAGCCUCCCGAGUAACUGGGACUACAGGUGUGCACCACUAUGCCCAGCUAAUUUUUGUACUUUCAGUAGAGACGGGGUUUCACCAUGUUGGCCGGGAUGGUCUCAAUUUCUUGACCUUAUAAUUCAUCUGCCUUGGCCUCCAAAAGUGCUGGGAUUAUAGGCGUGAGCCACUGGGCCCAGCCUGGACCUUGCUUCUUUACCCAACUUGCUACUGUGUGUCUUUUAAGAGGUGUGUUUAGCCUAUUUACAUUCAAGGUUAAUACCAAUAUGUGAGAACUUGAUCUUGUCAUUGUGCUGUUGCCUGAUUGUUAUGCAUACUUGGUUGUACAAUUAUUUCAUAGUGUCAGUGGGCUAUAUACUUAAGUUUGUUUUUGUGAUGGCAGAUAUCAUUCUUUCAUUUCCAUGUUUAGGACUCCCUAAGGACCACUCCUAAGACAGAUCUGGAGCCAUUUUUGUCACAUGAAGAACCAUUGCUGGGGAGCUAGUAUGGCCGCUUGGAGAUUAGGUCUCUGGGUGGACGUCCAAGUUGUUAAUUCCCAGGGCCGAAAUAUGAGCAACCCACUGCACCGGCCAAAACAGCGUCAUCAAGACUGAUGGUGCUUUUCUGCCCAGGAAUCUCCAUUUUGGCUUCCUUCCUGAGUCCAUAAUAGGCGACUCUGCCUUCCGGGAACUCCAAACCUCGGUCAGAAGGGGAACCAGUCCCGUUUACUCUGCACCAAGAGCUGCUGCACCGAGGUGCCAGCAAAACCGCUGCGCUGGCCACAAGAGUCGCAUUGGCGACCCAUGCGCUCCUCCACUUGGAAUCUUCUGCUCUGGCCACACGGCAAAAGGACAACAGCCAUUGUCAAGCUAAGACGACAGCCUUCACCAGGAAUCAAAUUGGAUGGCACUUUGAUGUUGAAUGUCUAGCCUCCAGAACUGUGAAAAAUAAAUUUUUGUUGUUUAAGCCACUAAGUCUAUGGUGUUUUGUUAUGGCAGCUCAAGUAGACUUACUAACACUUAGAAUGAAUGCUUUUGGUGAGCAAGGAGUUUCUGUAUUUUUAUGA